AUCACUAAGCCACUUAACACUACCACUUCUCAUUCAAUCGUUGCAUACCGUGGACGGUGCCUCGGUUCUGUUUCUACGUCGCCGAAUGUCUCUUCUACGAUGGACUCGGUAAACAAACCCAUUGUCCUCGUCUUAAUUUUUCCCCCUAGAUUCAUCAUUUUCCGAGUUCCUCGGAGCUUCGUUGACCCUUUAUCUUCUCCGGACUCAGCCCACCACAACCACCGAUACUACUUUCACUAAGCACUUCUCCCUUGAUCCCUUAGUACUAUGGGUUCAACCUCCAACGGAGUUUCUUCCACCCAGAAAGCCGAAGAGUCGCUUCCUCUUCCCCAGGCAGCCAUCGCAUGCGCUGUUCCGUUGGCUUCUCGCGCUUUUUUAUGACGGUUCUUGAGUCCCCUUCGAUGAUUACAUUGCCAAACCCCAUUUCUUCUGCAAAGACAACUCCUUGAAGGCAUGCAUACACUUUGGAGGUUGUCGGAUCUCAAACGUUGUUGAUCAGAGGACUUGUUUCACAAGCUUGCAAUCUCCAAAAAUAUGGCUAACUGACUCAUCUUCUUCCCCACAUAGCGAGCAUAGGGCAUCAUAUCUCAGCCUACGGGCUUUAAAGUUACUUAAUGUAGGAAAGAAAUUAUUUUUAAUUCUCCAUAGAUUGAUCCGUACCUUGCUGGGAAUCUUUAGGCUCCAAAUUUUUGUAUAAUAAUUUCUAGUUUGUUCCAGAUAUGUUGUUAUUUCAUUUCUCAACAGGUUUAGAUCCUCUGUGACACACCGUUUGUAACGGGUUUUUGUCGUGUAUUCCCCCAACUUGUCACCUCGCCAAACCCUUUUAUCUGGUUGUAAGGCGUUCCCUAAGGGGAUGGAGCCAAUUAUCUUAGCCUGUUCUUCAGGGAAAAGCCCUCUUAAGGUUUCUUCCUUCCAGGUAACAGAUUCAUAGUUAAUUAGAUCUGCAACUAAAGUGUACUUGUAAUCUAUAUUCUGAAACUGUAAUUUUCCUUCUCCAGAAAGCCAUGCAUCGUUCUAUAUAUUAACUUA